rnacentral:misc_RNA from 1 species
AAUUUGUCAAGAAUAUAGAAUAGAUGGAUUUACAAGCUUGUUAAUUUUACAGUUUAAGAAAAAAAAAGGUCAUAAACAAAAAUAAAACAAAAUAAAUGAGCAGAAUGAAAAGAAGCGCAACAGUAGCCAAGUGGAGGAGGAGGGAAAACAAAAAAGACAUAGUUGAAUGGUGAAAAAAGAUCCAUAUAGCUGACCUCAACUAGUUUGAGAUUAAGAUUUAGUUGUUGCAAUUAUGUACUUUACUAAAAUUAAUUUCAAAAAUAGUUCAGGCAAACUAAUUCUUCAUACCAUAAAUUUAACAAAAAAAAAAAUUAAAAAAAAAAUCAAACAAAAAAACUUUUUUUAAAAAAUCUUCGGUCAUGCGGAGAAGCAGAGCAGCCGCUGCGGCGAGACAAGUUCCGGCGACGGAAGUUCCGGUACCGGCACCGGUGGCCGGAGAACACAACGGAUCUGGAGGAUCUAAGGAGAUAAGGUUCCGUGGAGUUCGAAAGAGACCAUGGGGAAGAUUUGCAGCAGAGAUUAGAGAUCCAUGGAAGAAAACUAGGGUUUGGUUAGGUACUUUUGAUUCAGCUGAAGAUGCUGCCAAAGCUUAUGAUGCUGCAGCUCGA